UUUAAGUUAUGAGUAUGCCUGUGUG
rnacentral:piRNA from 1 species